CCGCUCCCCUCCCCAUCGGCCACGAGUGAAGCUUCCUGGGGCCUCACCAGAUGCAGAUGCUGGUGCCACGCUUCCUGUACAGCCUGCAGAGCCAUGGCUGCACAAACCUUUCUUCCUCAUAAAUCACCCAGCCUCGGGUGUUCCUUUCUAGCAACACACACGGACUGAGCCGGAUGACAUGAAGCAGCUGUUCCCGCCUCCUCCUGGCACCUCCCUGACUCACGCACUUGGUGCGUGGAGGGGUCGUGAGCGGGCACAGGCAGCCACUUCGCUGCUUGCCUCAUCAGCCUCACAGUUCCCCACAGAUGAUCCCUGCAUUAGUUGGCGGAGCUGAUGGUGUUCCCUGUUUUACCCUGUGGUCUCAUUUCCGGAUGCUGCUACCAAUGCCCGUCUCUA
rnacentral:lncRNA from 10 species